CCUACGGGUGACAGCAGUGAGGAAUAUUGGUCAAUGGACGAGAGUCUGAACCAGCCAAGUAGCGUGAAGGAUGACUGCCCUAUGGGUUGUAAACUUCUUUUAUAUGGGAAUAAAAUGUUCCACGUGUGGGAUUUUGUAUGUACCAUAUGAAUAAGGAUCGGCUAACUCCGUGCCAGCAGCCGCGGUAAUACGGAGGAUCCGAGCGUUAUCCGGAUUUAUUGGGUUUAAAGGGAGCGUAGGUGGACUGUUAAGUCAGUUGUGAAAGUUUGCGGCUCAACCGUAAAAUUGCAGUUGAAACUGGCAGUCUUGAGUACAGUAGAGGUGGGCGGAAUUCGUGGUGUAGCGGUGAAAUGCUUAGAUAUCACGAAGAACUCCGAUUGCGAAGGCAGUUCACUGGACUGCAACUGACACUGAGGCUCGAAAGUGUGGGUAUCAAACAGGAUUAGAUACCCUGGUAGUC
rnacentral:rRNA from 1 species